rnacentral:rRNA from 1 species
AGAGUUUGAUCAUGGCUCAGGAUGGACGCUAGCUACAGGCUUAACACAUGCAAGUCGAGGGGAAACGAUAUUGGAAGCUUGCUUCCGAUAGGCGUCGACCGGCGCACGGGUGAGUAACGCGUAUCCAACCUGCCCACCACUUGGGGAUAACCUUGCGAAAGUAAGACUAAUACCCAAUGACGUCUCUAGAAGACAUCUGAAAGAGAUUAAAGAUUUAUCGGUGAUGGAUGGGGAUGCGUCUGAUUAGCUUGUUGGCGGGGUAACGGCCACCAAGGCUACGAUCAGUAGGGGUUCUGAGAGGAAGGUCCCCCACAUUGGAACUGAGACACGGUCCCAAACUCCGUACGGGAGGCA